CCUACGGGAGGCUGCAGUGGGGAAUAUUGCACAAUGGGCGCAAGCCUGAUGCAGCCAUGCCGCGUGUGUGAAGAAGGCCUUCGGGUUGUAAAGCACUUUCAGCGGGGAGGAAGGCGUUAAGGUUAAUAACCUUGUCGAUUGACGUUACCCGCAGAAGAAGCACCGGCUAACUCCGUGCCAGCAGCCGCGGUAAUACGGAGGGUGCAAGCGUUAAGCGGAAUUACUGGGCGUAAAGCGCACGCAGGCGGUCUGUCAAGUCGGAUGUGAAAUCCCCGGGCUCAACCUGGGAACUGCAUUCGAAACUGGGAGGCUAGAGUCUUGUAGAGGGGGGUAGAAUUCCAGGUGUAGCGGUGAAAUGCGUAGAGAUCUGGAGGAAUACCGGUGGCGAAGGCGGCCCCCUGGACAAAGACUGACGCUCAGGUGCGAAAGCGUGGGGAGCAAACAGGAUUAGAUACCCGGGUAGUC
rnacentral:rRNA from 1 species